rnacentral:rRNA from 1 species
AGUGAACGCUGGCGGUAGGCCUAACACAUGCCAGUCGAACGGCAGCACAGUAAGAGCUUGCUCUUACGGGUGGCGAGUGGCGGACGGGUGAGGAAUACAUCGGAAUCUACUUUUUCGUGGGGGAUAACGUAGGGGAACUUACGCUAAUGCCGCAUACGACCUACGGGUGAAAGCAGGGGAUCUUCGGACCUUGCGCGAUUGAAUGAGCCGAUGUCGGAUUAGCUAGUUGGCGGGGUAAAGGCCCACCAAGGCGACGAUCCGUAGCUGGUCUGAGAGGAUGAUCAGCCACACUGGAACUGAGACACGGUCCAGACUCCUACGGGAGGCAGCAGUGGGGAAUAUUGGACAAUGGGCGCAAGCCUGAUCCAGCCAUACCGCGUGGGUGAAGAAGGCCUUCGGGUUGUAAAGCCCUUUUGUUGGGAAAGAAAAGCAGCAGGUUAAUACCCCGCUGUUCUGACGGUACCCAAAGAAUAAGCACCGGCUAACUUCGUG